UACGUAGGGUGCAAGCGUUAAUCGGAAUUAUUGGGCGUAAAGCGUGCGUAGGCGGUUUUGUAAGUCUGUCGUGAAAUCCCCGGGCUUAACCUGGGAAUGGCGAUGGAGACUGCAAGGCUAGAGUUUGGCAGAGGGGGGUAGAAUUCCACGUGUAGCAGUGAAAUGCGUAGAGAUGUGGAGGAACACCGAUGGCGAAGGCAGCCCCCUGGGUCAAAACUGACGCUCAUGCACGAAAGCGUGGGGAGCAAACAGG
rnacentral:rRNA from 1 species